rfam:Pseudomonas oryzihabitans strain TSDA-ARS-TSMARC-56511, complete genome.
UAAUAUCGCGCGCCCUUUUCUUGGCUUCCGGGGCGUCGGUAGCUGUCAAUUGGAGUUUUUCUGAAUGGCCCGUAUUGCAGGCGUCAACAUUCCAGAU